GCAGUCGCCACGGGAAUACGUAGGUGGCAAGCGUUGUCCGGAAUUAUUGGGCGUAAAGGGCUCGCAGGCGGUUUCUUAAGUCUGAUGUGAAAGCCCCCGGCUCAACCGGGGAGGGUCAUUGGAAACUGGGAAACUUGAGUGCAGAAGAGGAGAGUGGAAUUCCACGUGUAGCGGUGAAAUGCGUAGAGAUGUGGAGGAACACCAGUGGCGAAGGCGGCUCUCUGGCUUGUAACUGACGCUGAGGCUCGAAAGCGUGGGGAGCAAACAGGAUUAGAUACCCGUGUAGUCCCUGUCUCUUAUAC
rnacentral:rRNA from 1 species